rnacentral:rRNA from 1 species
UACGGAGGCUGCAAGCGUUAUCCGGAAUGAUUGGGCGUAAAGCGUCCGCAGGUGGCAAUGUAAGUCUGCUGUCAAAGCGUCUGGCUCAACCAGAUAAAGGCAGUGGAAACUACAUAGCUAGAGUAAGGUAGGGGUAGAGGGAAUUCCUGGUGUAGCGGUGAAAUGCGUAGAGAUCAGGAAGAACACCGGUGGCGAAAGCGCUCUGCCGGACCUUAACUGACACUGAGGGACGAAAGCUAGGGGGGCGAAUGGG